rnacentral:rRNA from 1 species
UACGUAGGGGGCAAGCGUUGUCCGGAUUUAUUGGGCGUAAAGAGCGUGUAGGCGGCCAGACAGGUCCGUUGUGAAAACUCGAGGCUCAACCUCGAGAUGUCGAUGGAAACCGUCUGGCUAGAGUCCGGAAGAGGAGUGUGGAAUUCCUGGUGUAGCGGUGAAAUGCGCAGAUAUCAGGAAGAACACCUAUGGCGAAGGCGGCACUCUGGGACGGUACUGACGCUGAGACGCGAAAGCGUGGGGAGCAAACAGG